GGCCGAAGCAGAAGAACGCGAAGGAGAAAGAAGAGAAAGAAGAAAAGAAGAAAGAAAAGAUUUAGCCGUUCGAUUUCGAUUCCGAUUUCGGUGUACGUUGGAGGAGAUUUGGGUGAAGUUAUAAAAUCCAGAAAGUAUCGGUAGGAGGUACGCAUGGCACCUCCGGGACAGGGGACGUCUCGGGAGAUAGAAAGACGGGCUGAAUGAGUGAACUGCAUCUGAUGUAUUAUAUGUAAAUUCUAACUAGAAAAACCUCCCGUUUUGGGAGUAUGUUUUUGUAAAUAUUUAUAAACUUGUUUUUUUGGGAAUAAUAAAAUGCUUAUAUAAUUAA